rnacentral:rRNA from 1 species
AGCAGCCGCGGUAAUUCCAGCUCCAAUAGCGUAUAUUAAAGUUGUUGCAGUUAAAAAGCUCGUAGUUGAAUUUCGGGAUUGACGUGAUGGUCAUGCCUUAAGGGGUAUGACCUGUUACAGUUGAUUUCUCACCUUCUGGAGAAACUUGAUGUCCUUUAUUGGGUGUCUUGCGGAUCCAGGACCUUUACCUUGAAAAAAUUAGAGUAGUUUAAAGCAGGCAUUUUUGCUCGAAUACAUUAGCAUGGAAUAAUAGAAUAGGACGGCAUGGUUCUAUUUUGUUGGUUUCUAGGAUCACCGUAAUGAUUAAUAGGGAUAGUUGGGGGCAUUAGUAUUCAAUUGUCAGAGGUGAAAUUCUUGGAUUUAUUGAAGACUAACUACUGCGAAAGCAUUUGCCAAGGAUGUUUUCAUUAAUCAAGAACGAAAGUUAGGGGAUCGAAGACGAUCAGAUACCGUCGUAGUCUUAACCAUAAACUAUGCCGACUAGGAAUCAGACGAUGUUAAUUUUUUAAUGACUCG